UCACCCAAAAACUCAUCAUCAUGCCCAUUUCAAUUAAUCUGCAUUCACACUCCCAAAUCCAACCAACUCCUCAUCUCUAUUCUGCCUUUAUAGAUUUGCCUUUUCUGGACAUUUCUUAUAAAUGGAAUCAUAUUUUUGUAUGUGCUUGGUUUCUUUCAUUUGCAUUUCUGUUUAAGAUUCAUCCUAUAAAUUCUUUGUAGCAGAUAUCAGCAUUUUUCUUUUUAUGACUGAAUAGUAUUCUACUGUAUGGCUGUACUGUAUUUAUUUAUUCAUCAGUUGAUGGAUGUUUAUAUCAUUUACACUUUUGGGGCAUUAUGAAUAAUAUUGCCAUGAACAUUUACAUACAAGUCUUUGUGUGUAUAUGUUUUCAUUUCUGUUGGGUAGUUAUCUAGGAGUGGAAUUUCCAGGUCAUAUGGUAAACAUUCGUAAGUCUUACUGAAUAAAAAUUAAAAUUUUUAUUGCCUGCCCAACUUUCCCAAAAAUUUAAAUUAAGCCUUCACUCCAAGCAAAUCAUAUUCUUGGUAUUAUAUACAUCACCUUAAUAAAGGUUAGAAUCUUUAUGGACCAGCCUUUCAACAAAGUUAAACAAAAGUAGCACAGCGCUGAAUGGCAACCAAAGGUGAUCACAUAAGUAGUCUGAUCUUUACUUGCAUCCCUUGAGGAAAACUUGUGGUAAACUAAGUUAUAUCCCAACACUUUAUAGAAUCUUCUUCCCUUUUAUUUCUAAUUUUUCUAACCUCCCCUACAAAAGAUGAACACUCUCUUCGCUCACACAUGCAGCAUCUCAUCUGUUUCCUCCUCUUUCUUCUUCUCCAGUCCUUUAUUGUGUCCUCUAUAGAGCUUCUCUGACUUGUCCGUGUGAAAGGCACUGUGUGCAGAAACCAGGGACAUGCCUCUAGGUCUUCAACACCAAAACUUGCUUUCAGAAAAAUAAUUGCUCAACCAGUCAUCCCAUUGAAAAAAUAUUUGUAAGCCAGUUUCUUUCACAGCUUAGAGGGAAUUUAGCUUUAGUGUCUUUGUCUAUAACUGAGUCAUGAUACCAGUGGGUCAGUCCAGAUAGACUAGAUUCUAAUGUAGUAACCAACAAUUCCGAAAUCUCCAUGGGCACUGCGGGUGGGCAGGGAUCUCUGCUCCUAUCAGUCACUCAUGGCCGAGGCUCAAAUAUUGGUGACCUGUAUACCUCCAGAACUCCAGAGGGUCUCCCACCGGUAAUUAAAUAUUUAUCCCAGAAUUAACACUUCUGCUUGCAGCUCAUUGGCAAGAGUCAGUCAACAGCCUCACUCAAUCACAAGGAAGCCAGGAAGAAUCCUACUACAUGCCUCUAAGAUAGGUCAACAGGCUGUGUUUGAGAAAUAGGAAGAGUGACUAUCUUUCGUGACCAUCAGUUUCUCCACAACACUUGACAUUUGUAAAAAUGUGGGUGUUUAAAAGUGGGGCAUUUGUAAGAAAAGAAAAAAGAGUUGGUAUAAUUUCUGCAGCCCAUUGGCAGGCUGUGGAAAAUUUGUAUGUAAUUCACAUAUUCACAUAGUGAAAUUUUAAAUGUUUUGAGUAAAUUUCUUUUUUAAAGAAGAAUGUUGGUAAAUCUUUUUCUUUCUUUUUUGAGAAAAAUUUGCCCCUAACUAUAAAUUCUCAAUUUAUGAGCUUCACUAACAUGGGAUGCAUCCAGUCGUUCACAGAGUCAAUAGAUCACAAAUAUUUAGCAAGCAACUAUUACCUAAGGUUGCUCUUCCAACUCCAGGAACAAUUUGUUUGUGUCACAUAAUUGGAAAAUCUUCAGCUGAGGGUCUGAUCUCUUUCUUUGUGGCCUCCUCUCUGCCCUCCCUCACACUUGCUUUGUCCAAUUGCUGCUUCUGUUGAGAAUCAUGAGCAUUUCCCGGGGCUCAGUACCUGCUGCUUCACACAUACCAGAAGAGGCAGAAUUGCUCUUAGUAGCCCUCCUGGAACAAAAGGAGGCAUCUUUCCCAGAGUUCCCAAGAGUCAUCUCCACCCGAGUUAUGACACAUUAAUACACACCACAAAAACAAGUCCACAUUCCUCACACUGAGGGACAGGCCUGUCCUCCCAAAUUGCCCUGGUGUGUAGGAUGGAAUUCCUGAAGGAACUGUUGCCUGAGCUGAGUUUUGAAGAACGGUGGGAAUUGGCUGAAUAAAGAAGAGUUGGGGCUGGGAGUAGGCAUUGUGGACCCACAGUGUGGACACUGCUGUAUUUCAGCAAUAUGGAUUGAGAGCCUCAGGGUCAUUCAUGUAUCCUUUGAAGCUGGCAUUACACUUUUGGGAAAAGAUCCU
rnacentral:lncRNA from 1 species